AGAGUUUGAUCAUGGCUCAGAACGUACGCUGGCGGCACGCCUAACACAUGCAAGUCGAACGCAGUAGCAAUACUGAGUGGCAAACGGGUGAGUAUAAUGUGGGAAUCUGCCUUUUGGUUCGGAAUAACACGAGGAAACUUGUGCUAAUACCGGAUAAGCCCUUACGGGGAAAGUUUUAAUGCCAAAAGAUGAGCCCGCACUUGAUUAGCUAGUUGGUAAGGUAAUGGCUUACCAAGGCAACGAUCAAUAGCUGUUCUUAGAGGAAGACCAGCCACAUUGGGACUGAGACACGGCCCAAACUCCUACGGGAGGCAGCAGUGGGGAAUCUUGCACAAUGGGGGAAACCCUGAUGCAGCGAUGCCGCGUGAGUGAAGAAGGCCCUUGGGUUGUAAAACUCUUUCGUCGGGGAAGAAAAUGACUGUACCCGAAUAAGAAGGUCCGGCUAACUUCGUGCCAGCAGCCGCGGUAAUACGAAGGGACCUAGCGUAGUUCGGAAUUACUGGGCUUAAAGAGUUCGUAGGUGGUUAAAAAAGUUGAUGGUGAAAUCCCAAGGCUCAACCUUGGAACUGCCAUCAAAACUUUUUAGCUAGAGUGUGAUAGAGGAAAGUGGAAUUUCUAGUGUAGAGGUGAAAUUCGUAGAUAUUAGAAAGAACAUCAAAAGCGAAGGCAACUUUCUGGAUCAUUACUGACACUGAGGAACGAAAGCAUGGGUAGCGAAGAGGAUUAGAUACCCUCGUAGUCCAUGCCGUAAACGAUGUGUGCUAGACGUUGGAAACUUAGUUUUCAGUGUCGCAGCGAAAGCAUUAAGCACACCGCCUGGGGAGUACGACCGCAAGGUUAAAACUCAAAUGAAUUGACGGGGACCCGCACAAGUAGUGGAGCAUGUGGUUUAAUUCGAAGAUACGCGCAGAACCUUACCAACACUUGACAUGUUCGUCGCGACUCUGAGAGAUCAGAGUUUUCGGUUCGGCCGGACGAAACACAGGUGCUGCAUGGCUGUCGUCAGCUCGUGUCGUGAGAUGUUGGGUUAAGUC
rnacentral:rRNA from 1 species